CAACUUUGAGCGGUGGAUCACUCGGCUCGUGUGUCGAUGAAGAGCGCAGCCAACUGUGUGAAUUAAUGUGAACUGCAA
rnacentral:rRNA from 1 species